GAAUAUUGGACAAUGGGGGGAACCCUGAUCCAGCCAUGCCGCGUGUGUGAAGAAGGCCUUUUGGUUGUAAAGCACUUUAAGCGAGGAGGAGGAGCUCUUGUUUAAUACCCAAGAUGCGUGGAUGUUACUCUCAUAAUACGCCCCGGCUAACAUUGUCCCAGCAGCCGCGGUAAUCCAGAGGGUGCAAGCGUUAAUCGGAUUUACUGGGCGUAAAGCGCGCGUAGGUGGCAAAUUAAGUCAAAUGUGAAAUCCCCGAGCUUAACUUGGGAAUUGCAUUCGAUACUGGGUGGCUAGAGUAUGGGAGAGGAUGGUAGAAUUCCAGGUGUAGCGGUGAAAUGCGUAGAGAUCUGGAGGAAUACCGAUGGCGAAGGCAGCCAUCUGGCCUAAUACUGACACUGAGGUGCGAAAGCAUGGGGAGCAAACAG
rnacentral:rRNA from 1 species